UGGGGAAUAUUGCACAAUGGGGGAAACCCUGAUGCAGCGACGCCGCGUGGAGGAAGAAGGUCUUCGGAUUGUAAACUCCUGUUGUUGAGGAAGAUAAUGACGGUACUCAACAAGGAAGUGACGGCUAACUACGUGCCAGCAGCCGCGGUAAAACGUAGGUCACAAGCGUUGUCCGGAAUUACUGGGUGUAAAGGGAGCGCAGGCGGGCAGACAAGUUGGAAGUGAAAUCCAUGGGCUCAACCCAUGAACUGCUUUCAAAACUGUUUUUCUUGAGUAGUGCAGAGGUAGGCGGAAUUCCCGGUGUAGCGGUGGAAUGCGUAGAUAUCGGGAGGAACACCAGUGGCGAAGGCGGCUUGCUGGGCUUUUACUGACGCUGAGGCACGAAAGUGUGGGGAGCAAACAGGAUUAGAUACCCUGGUAGUCCACACCGUAAACGAUGAUUACUAGGUGUAGGCCGGCUGAACCGGUCUGUGCCGCAGUUAACACAAUAAGUAAUCCACCUGGGGAGUACGGCCGCAAGGUUGAAACUCAAAGGAGUUGACGGGGGCCCGCACAAGCAGUGGAGUAUGUGGUUUAAUUCGAAGCAACGCGAAGAACCUUACCAGGCCUUGACAUCCCGAUGACCGGCUUAGAGAUAAGCCUUCUCUUCGGAGCAUCGGAGACAGGUGGUGCAUGGUUGUCGUCAGCUCGUGUCGUGAGAUGUUGGGUUAAGUCCCGCAACGAGCGCAACCCUUACGGUUAGUUGAUACGCAAGAGGACUCUGGCCAGACUGCCGUUGACAAAACGGAGGAAGGUGGGGAUGACGUCAAAUCAUCAUGCCCUUUAUGACUUGGGCUACACACGUACUACAAUGGCGUUAAACAAAGAGAAGCAAGACCGCGAGGUGGAGCAAAACUCAGAAACAACGUCCCAGUUCGGACUGCAGGCUGCAACUCGCCUGCACGAAGUCGGAAUUGCUAGUAAUCGUGGAUCAGCAUGCCACGGUGAAUACGUUCCC
rnacentral:rRNA from 1 species